rnacentral:rRNA from 1 species
UACGUAGGUGGCAAGCGUUGUCCGGAUUUAUUGGGUUUAAAGGGUGCGUAGGCGGGCAGGUAAGUCCGUGGUGAAAUCUCCGAGCUUAACUCGGAAAUUGCCGUGGAUACUAUCUGUCUUGAAUGCUGUGGAGGUGAGCGGAAUAUGUCAUGUAGCGGUGAAAUGCUUAGAUAUGUCAUAGAACACCAAUUGCGAAGGCAGCUCACUACACAGCGAUUGACGCUGAGGCACGAAAGCGUGGGGAUCAAACAGG